rnacentral:rRNA from 1 species
AGAACGAACGCUGGCGGCAGGCUUAACACAUGCAAGUCGAACGCUCAUAGCAAUAUGGGAGUGGCGCACGGGUGAGUAACGCGUGGGAACGUGCCCUUCAGUUCGGGAUAACCACUGGAAACGGUGGCUAAUACCGAAUAUUCCCUCCGGGGGAAAGAUUUAUCGCUGAAGGAUCGGCCCGCGUAAGAUUAGGUAGUUGGUGGGGUAAUGGCCUACCAAGCCUACGACCUUUAGCUGGUCUGAGAGGAUGAUCAGCCACACUGGAACUGAGACACGGUCCAGACUCCUACGGGAGGCAGCAGUGGGGAAUAUUGGACAAUGGGCGAAAGCCUGAUCCAGCCAUGCCGCGUGUGUGAUGAAGGCCUUAGGGUUGUAAAGCACUUUUGUCAGGGAAGAUAAUGACGGUACCUGAAGAAUAAGCACCGGCUAACUUCGUGCCAGCAGCCGC